UCAGUAAACAACAAGGAUAAAAUGAUAUAUAUGAGGGUACUUAAUUGAUGUUUUCGAACGCAGCUUUAAUGUGAUUGGUUAGACCUAAAAGAAUACACUAAUAGCAGUGAGCGCUCACUCAACUACUGAGUUUGCUGAACGCAGCCACUGUUGCUCAAUGCAGUGACAAUUCUAUGUUCUAUGCUUCUGUGAUCCGAGAGAAAUGUGAUCCGGUAAAUAUUUGAAUUGGGAGUCGUUGGUUGUCCGCGUACCAGUAAGCGUGUUUGUAAUAGAGUGAAAAAGCGCGGUUAGGAUUGCUGAUGCAAUCCUCCUUAGACUUUGCCUAAUUAUAUUUUGUAUUCCCAUUUAUUGUUUUGUAUUCCGAUUCCACAUAAUCUACCAUCGUAACCAGUGAUAACCUUGUUUAAUGGCCGAAUCGUCCCCACUCUGACUAUUCCCAGGAGACGGGUGCCAAAUUAAAGAAAGAAGAAGAAGAAGAUGAUGUGAUCCAAGAAAGUUCUGUCUAGAAAGUGAUUCCUGUAGUGUUACUAGUGUUGCGUUAUUGAGAAGAUCAUUCUGUUCGAAGUACUUUUGCUUUAUUUAUAUAAGAAUCAGGUUUUUACUUCUAAUAAUGGACGAAAUAACGGCUGAGAAUACAUCAGAACUGAGACUGCAAACAGACCCACAGUCUUCGAAAGAGACUACAGAGAAAAUACCAUGGCCAGCAUAUGCAGAGGCAUUUGAGGUGCAGGAAGAAUUGGGAAAUGAGAAAAAUUUAGCACUUUUGUGUAAAAUUUGUAUUGGAAAAAAAAUUAUACAUGCUAGCAGAACUUCAACAGCAAACUUAAGAAAACAUUUAACUGCAAAACAUCAACAUAUAUUGAAAAAAAUAGAUGAGACAAAAGUUAAUUUGAAACGUCCAAAUAAAGAUGAAAAUGCCAAUAUUCCAAAUAAGUGUCAUGUAUUGGAAAAGUGGGGCUCUGGGAGCUCAAAGAUUACUCAAAAUAUAUUUGAUAAAGCUAUAUUACAGUUUAUUAUCGAAGACAUUCAACCCCUUUCCACUAUUGAUAGUCCAGCAUUCAUUAAUUUCUUAAGAAUUGGAGUUUCUUCACAUAUUCGUAUAAUGUGCAGGAAAACAUUAAAAGAAAAACUUUGUCAAACGUAUCUUGAAAUGAAGAGUACCCUAGAAAAAAAAUUAACAGAAAUAGAAAUAGUUGCGACAACGGCAGAUUUAUGGAGCAAGGCGAAAAAAAGUUACUUAGGAAUAACAAUCCAUUGGAUUAAUCCUGAUACUCUCUCUCGACAAUCAGCUGCAUUAGCUUGUCGAAGGCUGAAAGGACGACAUACAUAUGACAUAUUAGCUGAUGCAAUUUAUUCGAUUUUUUUGGAGUAUCAUAUUCAAAACAAAAUAUGUUGCAUGACAACGGACAACGGAUCAAAUUUUGUCAAAGCCUUUCAAUAUUUUAAGAAAAGUGAAGAUGAUGAGGACUUUGAGGAAGUGUUUCAUGGUUUAAGUGAUCUUUUAAAUGUGGACGAUGUAGAAAAUGUAGAUGCAGAAAAUUUAUUGACACUUCCACUACAUCAUAGAUGUGUCAGCCACACUUUGAACCUUGUCGCAGUGAAAGAUUCUGAGAAAGCUUUAGACAGCGAUGCUGUAUACAAGAAAAAACAUAGAGUGACAUUUGCCAAAUUAGUAAAAUUGUGGAAUAAACAAAACCAAUCUACACAAACAGCAGAUAAAAUAAACGAAAUUUGUGGUGUAUACUUAAAAACUCCCGUUAUUACCAGAUUAUGGAUCCUUUGGCACGGGCCAUAGACAUAUUACAGAAAGAAUCGGGAAUGUAUAUGGGAUAUUUAUUGCCCGUCUUGCAAACAUUACAAGAAAGAUUAGAAAAAUUUGAUAAAAGCGGAUUUAUACAUUGUCAAUCACUAAUCACAGCUAUUCAAGAAGGUUUAAAUAAAAGAUUUUCCACAUUAUUCGAAAAAAAGGAAUUGAUCGUCGCAAGUUGCCUACACCCAAAAUUUAAAUUAAACUGGUUACAUGGAGAGAGAAAAAAAGUGGCUAAAGGUUAUUUAGAAGACUUGUUAGGAGUUAAUAGUUCUGAUGACAGUUCCCCAAAUGUUACUGAAGAUAAUGACGACUUUUUCGAUUUCAAUAAACAAGUUAAGGAAGUUGAAUCCUUACAAGAGGAAUUGUACCGUUUCCUAAAAUCAAACGCUUUGCAUGUAAAUAUGUUGAACGAUUAUCCCAGAAUAAAAAAAUUUUUUAUUAAAUAUAACACGGCACUGCCCAGUAGUGCAUCGGUUGAACGAAUGUUCAGCGUUAGUGGUUCUGUAGUAACACCACAGAGAGGAAAACUUAAUGAUAACACAAUGGAAUACCAAACUCUUUUAAAAAUAAACAAAAAUUUUUAUUAAAGGUU